UACGUAGGGCGCAAGCGUUGUCCGGAAUUAUUGGGCGUAAAGAGCUCGUAGGCGGUUUGUCGCGUCUGCUGUGAAAACUCGAGGCUCAACCUCGGGCUUGCAGUGGGUACGGGCAGACUAGAGUGUGGAAGGGGCAAUCGGAAUUCUUGGUGUAGCGGUGAAAUGCGUAGAUAUCAAGAGGAACACCUGAGGUGAAGACGGGUUGCUGGGCCAACACUGACGCUGAUGCGCGAAAGCCAGGGGAGCAAACGGG
rnacentral:rRNA from 1 species